GACGAACGCUGGCGGCGUGCUUAACACAUGCAAGUCGAACGGAAAGGCCCUGCUUUUGUGGGGUGCUCGAGUGGCGAACGGGUGAGUAACACGUGAGUAACCUGCCCUUGACUUUGGGAUAACUUCAGGAAACUGGGGCUAAUACCGGAUAGGAGCUCCUGCUGCAUGGUGGGGGUUGGAAAGUUUCGGCGGUUGGGGAUGGACUCGCGGGUUAUCAGCUUGUUGGUGGGGUAGUGGCUUACCAAGGCUUUGACGGGUAGCCGGCCUGAGAGGGUGACCGGCCACAUUGGGACUGAGAUACGGCCCAGACUCCUACGGGAGGCAGCAGGGGGGAAUAUUGCCCAAUGGGCGGAAGCCUGAUGCAGCAACGCCGCGUGCGGGAUGACGGCCUUCGGGUUGUAAACCGCUUUCGCCUGUGACGAAGCGUGAGUGACGGUAAUGGGUAAAGAAGCACCGGCUAACUACGUG
rnacentral:rRNA from 1 species